AUCCACUUCAAAUAUUUUUGUAGUUCGAGAAAACUAAUACACUCCGAUUUUAUACAGAACUAAUUUUUUCGAUUUCAAAAGGCAAAAUUCCAAACUUUUAGAAAUGGAAUGGUGGCCGCGUUCCAUAUCGCUCAUCUGUGUGUUCAUCAUCUCCUCUUCCUCUUCCAAAACACAUGGUUCCCACAGGCCGCCCGCUGCGGCGGUUAGCGCCCACUCGAGAGCCGUGACGCGGCGUGUACACAACACCGCAAAUGUCUUCGGACUGUUCCCAGGCAUCGCCUUACCCGCCGCCAUCACUCAUAAGUCUGUCAUGAGGCUCAGCGGGUGGCACAAGCUGUUGCUAUCAUGUACAAACUCAUGAACUGCCCUUUUCUCCUUAAAUAUAAACUUUUAUUAUAUCAUAUUGGUGUGUGUUGAUGUGCAUGACGGGUGUCGAAUCCUGUCAGGGGCGAGGUGGCACUCUCAUCUCCCGUGCCAGGGUGUCUCUACAAGUGUGCGUGGCGUCAGCAAGGGGAACACCUUUCGCCCCUCAACACGCCUUUGAACGCAACACACACAUGCAGGCAUAUAGAGGUCAUUAGCCUUUGCGCCCCGAGACAAGUUGAAAACACGCAAAUGUCAACGUUGCGCUUUUGCAGCUGGGAUGUCCGUGACACAUAUGCACAUUUCCUUCCACCGGUGGAUUUCAUGCAUGUGUACGGAUCAGAUGUUGUGAAUAAAGUGUCGGCGUUUUAAUUAAACGGCAUCUGGAAGCAUCUCGGGUUGCGAUCGUACCUUCGGUGUGUUUCAAAGACUGUCGACUAAAGUUCCGCAAACAAGUCGAGACAAAACCGGUUGAGCAGAGAUGCAGCACUUUUUCAACCUUCACCCUAACCCCUUCACGCCUCCAUCGGGAUGUCAACGCCAAAAAUAUGACGUUAUUCUUCCCAAAACGGAACCCUCCUCCUUCUGACUGACCGCAAGGGCUCUCGUCAAGUACGCAAAGCGACAGCGUUUUGGAGCAGCUGGAGAGUUUUUCAAAAAAUCUGGCAUGAAAUAAAUCUGGCCAAGUGGGAUAUUGUUGCCAUGAAAAGGAAGACCCCAAAACUGCCCAUCUUUGUGUCGCUGGACUGUCUGAAAGGAACUGACAUGGAGCGGUUGUCAACCAAAGUGUUUUGUCCAUCUUAAGACCCUUUCACACUGUCCUGUGUCAUUGGACUGUGUGAAAGUGACCAACACAGAAUGUUGGGCGAGCGACAAGAAUUUCAGUUGCCUUCAUGUUGUCUUCUUCUGUGCUUGAGAAGAGGUCAAGCUGACUUCCAUUCAACUUUGUGCCACUGUAUUCCCUUUCUGCCCAUCUUUUUCUCAUCUACGGGAUAAGCGCAAAACUCCUUUUACAUGUCCUAAAAGGGUCUGAUAAAAGUCAACAACAUAAACCGUUGCUGAGGAAUGUGCCGUUUGAUGAAAUGUGGAACAGGCGAUAAGCGCAAGAAGUCAUAAGGGAGAAGCAACAAGCCGUGAUGGAUGUGUGCACUUUUCCCUCUGCUUGAAAUUUCCCAGAUAUAUUUCAUGCUUUUAGCAAACAAACUGCGACGUAUUUUAUCUGGCUCGCCAGCCCCCCCGAUGUGCUGAUAUCAAAUCCUGCAAUGAUUUGAUCCGCUUUGAUGUCAUCAUUCGCCGUGUCAGCGAUGUUCAGCAACGUUUUUGUGGAGCACUCCCUCACACCUUGGUCGUGCCUGUCAAAACAUACAAAGUCCAAGAACCUUUUUGAAGGCUUUUAUAGUCGCUGCUGUCAGAGACAAUGUGCUCACUGUCCGAGCUAUUUCUUGCCAUGGGCCUCAACCUAAUUCUGGCCACAGAUUGGUUCAUGCCGUGUUGCCGUGUGAAACAUCUUUUGCAACAUUCUGUGUGAAAAAUACAGGUGAAUUAGUGUUGGCUCGUGAGUGAACGAUUCGUUCAAACGAAUGAAUGCUUUCAGUGAACGAGAGUGAACGAAUCACUUUAGGAAGUGAUUCGUUCUUUUUUCCGUUCACAUGAC